GCACUGCUGAGGAGUCCCACAAUAGGAUGAAACGGCCUUUCAGUGC
rfam:Schistosoma haematobium scaffold352_18, whole genome shotgun sequence.